rnacentral:rRNA from 1 species
UGGGGAAUAUUGCACAAUGGGCGCAAGCCUGAUGCAGCCAUGCCGCGUGUGUGAAGAAGGCCUUCGGGUUGUAAAGCACUUUCAGCGGGGAGGAAGGCGGUGAGGUUAAUAACCUCAUCGAUUGACGUUACCCGCAGAAGAAGCACCGGCUAACUCCGUGCCAGCAGCCGCGGUAAUACGGAGGGUGCAAGCGUUAAUCGGAAUUACUGGGCGUAAAGCGCACGCAGGCGGUCUGUCAAGUCGGAUGUGAAAUCCCCGGGCUCAACCUGGGAACUGCAUUCGA